GUGCACUUACUUCAUGGCUUUACUUACUUGUUGCCACUGCUCUGCCCUCCAAGUGUAGAGAGGACAUGGUGAGGCUUGGCAGACACGCUCCGACUCUGGUCUGCUGUAGGAGCUGCACUCACUCUCUCUGGCUGCUUUGUGUGUCCCGAUCUGACAGCCCACAUGCCUCUGCUGCACGCCUUGGCCACAGGACACAGAGCACUGAGAAGACACAGGAUCCAUCAAGAAGUCUGCAAACAACCCUGGUGUAUAUGUCUGAUGGAGAAGGACUCAAUAGCGAAGGGAAUGAGUUCUCUGGGCUGUGGCACUGCUGAGGAUAUGGACAUCUCUAUGAUGACGAAGUUCUGUAUGGGCUUAGCAAGUGCAUCACAAAGAACUCGGAAGGAAGAAGAGGGGAAUACGGAGGAAAGGCAUGAGAAUGGUGUAAGGGCCUACUCUGCCUGCCAUAAAAGUGUUUACGUAAGCAGCUGGAAGAAGAAGAGGGUUGUGGGUAAGACACAGGCUCCAAAAUCCUUAAUCUUCAUGUUUCAAAGAUUUACAGAAGAGAGUAUCCAGAGACCAAUGAAGAAGAAUAUGGUUUGAGGAUGAUGGGGUUUGCAAAGGCCAAGGACAAAAAAGAAGGUGAAGAAGGAGAGGCCACCACAGCUCUGGAGUCUUCUGAAGUGUCUUUGAAAUGGAUUCCUGCAAAGCUAAUCUGCUCAGUGUCACCUACUGGGUUCAGUGACUAUGAAAAGCUGUCUCCCUAAAGCUUUCCCUUCAGAGAGACAAUGGUCUCUUGGAAUUCCAGAUCCUACAAGGUGGCUACCUGGUGAUCUCCAUUUUCACCCUCUCCUUAAAGGCAUUAAUCCAGUCUUGGCCUUCCAACCCACAGCAUAUGUAAACAUCUCUCUCCUUAAGUGAACUUACUGCCACUAUGAACUUGAACUCUGAGACGAAGGAGAGGAGUUUGUUUUAACAGCUGCUUUUACAAUGAAACGCUGGAGUUAGUCCUUCCCAGGACAGCUGGUUCUGAUAGUCUGCUUUUAUACUAUCCUGCUUUUCUCUCAUGCCCAGCUGUGGCCUGCUGACAUUUUGUAAAACAAAGCACAAAACACUAGAAGGGCAAGAGAAUGCUAUUUGUUGGGGGAUAUUCUACACAGGGACCUCUCAGUGCUGACACAGGAGUUGUCUUCAAGUUUACUUUGUUAAAUUUGGUUUUUGGCUAGUUUAUAACUAUGUUUGUUACUAUAAUUGUUAAAUAUAUACUGCUGCCAGGUUGUCCAUCUGGUAGUCACCGCUACAGAAAGGUGUGUAAAAUUUAGGGUGACUAUGGUUAAUAGGUUUAUAAAUUAAUACCUUUAGAAAUGUAACUUCUUACCCCUUACUUAUAUUUUUAGUGUUUAGGGUUUUGAUCUGAGUGGUAUGGGAACAGAGUUUCAGGUCUGGUCCCUGCUAGUAAUGCCUUACCACUGAGCUAUAUAUACCGCUUACUGCUUUUUAACCCUUUGAAAAAAACUUUUGGGGCAGGGUGUGGGAAAGCUGCCCAGGCUGAUUUAUUUGGUAGACCAGGCCAAGGUUUGGGAUUCUACUUCCUCAAACGGCCUGGUUGCUGGGAUUACAGGUCUGUGCCACCAGGUCCACUUUAUGUGUUUAGUGCUGGUAACAUGUUACUAGUGACUUCCACAUUGGAAAACAGGAGUACAGAAUAUUUCCUUCCCUGCAGGAUGCUGUCAGGCUUGGAUCAAGGCAUGAAGUCUUUCACAGAGGGGCUGUAGAUCUAGACAGGAAUGGUGGAUGUGUGUUAUCUUCUUCACUACCAACGGCACAUGUUUAUUUUAGCUGCCAAUUUCUAUUUUAUAAACGUCUAGGAAGGGAAGUUUUGGUUUUAAAGCUGUUCACAACAAUAAUCCCACUUCAAGGGAACUGUAAGGCGCAGAGAAGACAGUGCUCGUUCCACACAUUCCAGGUCUUUUUUAUUGGCCUCUAUUAAAUAACAAGGGGAAAUGUGCCCUCGGAUCACAACUUCCCCAGGACGAGCCUCUGGGUCCCAGCAAGGAGGAGGCAGAGAGCCCAGUCCUCCAUUGGCUGUGGGCCUUAGACCAAUCAACCACAUUUGGGAUAAAAUGUGUAUAGAUUCUAGGACAGGGAUUUAAAAUUAAACAAAUAAAUGAACAAAUAAAAACAUUUUUUUUAAAGUUUCUGUUCCCACAGUGUUGGGAUAAAAUGUGUAUAGAUUCUAGGACAGGGAUUUAAAAUUAAACAAAUAAAUGAACAAAUAAAAACAUUUUUUUUAAAUCA
rnacentral:lncRNA from 1 species